GGUCAAGCGAACAAGUGCAUGUGGUGGAUGCCUUGGCGAUCACAGGCGAUGAAGGACGCGGUAGCCUGCGAAAAGCUACGGGGAGCUGGCAAACGAGCUUUGAUCCGUAGAUGUCCGAAUGGGGAAACCCGGCCCUUUUGGGUCAUCCUGGACUGAAUACAUAGGUCCAGUGAAGCGAACGCGGUGAACUGAAACAUCUAAGUAACCGCAGGAAAAGAAAUCAACCGAGAUUCCCAAAGUAGUGGCGAGCGAAAUGGGAUGAGCCUUGCACUCUUUAUUUGUAUUGUUAGCCGAACGCUCUGGAAAGUGCGGCCAUAGCAGGUGAUAGCCCUGUAGGCGAAAACAGUAUGAAAGAACUAGGUGUGCGACAAGUAGGGCGGGACACGUGAAAUCCUGUCUGAAGAUGGGGGGACCAUCCUCCAAGGCUAAAUACUCGUGAUCGACCGAUAGUGAACCAGUACCGUGAGGGAAAGGCGAAAAGAACCCCGGGAGGAGUGAAAUAGAUCCUGAAACCGCAUGCAUACAAACAGUCGGAGCCUCGUAAGGGGUGACGGCGUACCUUUUGUAUAAUGGGUCAGCGACUUACGUUCAGUAGCAAGCUUAACCGUAUAGGGCAGGCGUAGCGAAAGCGAGUCCGAAUAGGGCGUUCAGUUGCUGGGCGUAGACCCGAAACCAAGUGAUCUAUCCAUGGCGGGAUGAAGGUGCGGUAACACGUACUGGAGGUCCGAACCCACUAACGUUGAAAAGUUAGGGGAUGAGCUGUGGAUAGGGGUGAAAGGCUAAACAAACUUGGAAAUAGCUGGUUCUCUCCGAAAACUAUUUAGGUAGUGCCUCGUGUCUCACCUUCGGGGUAGAGCACUGUCAUGGUUGGGGGGUCUAUUGCAGAUUACCCCGCCAUAGCAAACUCCGAAUACCGAAGAGUGCAAUCACGGGAGACAGACAUCGGGUGCUAACGUCCGGUGUCAAGAGGAAACAACCCAGACCGCCAGCUAAGGUCCCCAAAUAUAGCUAAGUGGGAAACGAAGUGGGAAGGCUAAAACAGUCAGGAGGUUGGCUUAGAAGCAGCCACCCUUUAAAGAAAGCGUAAUAGCUCACUGAUCGAGUCGUCCUGCGCGGAAGAUGUAACGGGGCUAAGCUAUAUACCGAAGCUGCGGAUGCGUGCUUUGCACGCAUGGUAGGAGAGCGUUCCGUAAGCCUGCGAAGGUGCGUUGAAAAGCGUGCUGGAGGUAUCGGAAGUGCGAAUGCUGACAUGAGUAGCGAUAAAGGGGGGUGAAAGGCCCCCUCGCCGUAAGCCCAAGGUUUCCUACGCAACGUUCAUCGGCGUAGGGUGAGUCGGCCCCUAAGGCGAGGCAGAAAUGCGUAGCUGAUGGGAAGCAGGUCAAUAUUCCUGCACCAUUGUUAGAUGCGAUGGGGGGACGGAUCGCGGAAGGUUGUCCGGGUGUUGGAAGUCCCGGUCGCUGCAUUGGAGAAGGCGCUUAGGCAAAUCCGGGCGCGUAAUUCAAGGGUGCGGCGCGAGCUCCUUAGGGAGCGAAGCAAUUGGAAGUGGUUCCAAGAAAAGCCUCUAAGCUUCAGUCUAACGAUGACCGUACCGCAAACCGACACAGGUGGGCGAGAUGAGUAUUCUAAGGCGCUUGAGAGAACUCGGGAGAAGGAACUCGGCAAAUUGGUACCGUAACUUCGGGAUAAGGUACGCCCUUGUAGCUUGACUGGCCUGCGCCAGGAGGGUGAAGGGGUUGCAAUAAACUGGUGGCUGCGACUGUUUAAUAAAAACACAGCACUCUGCAAACACGAAAGUGGACGUAUAGGGUGUGACGCCUGCCCGGUGCCGGAAGAUUAAAUGAUGGGGUGCAAGCUCUUGAUUGAAGUCCCGGUAAACGGCGGCCGUAACUAUAACGGUCCUAAGGUAGCGAAAUUCCUUGUCGGGUAAGUUCCGACCUGCACGAAUGGCGUAACGAUGGCCACACUGUCUCCUCCCGAGACUCAGCGAAGUUGAAGUGUUUGUGAUGAUGCAAUCUACCCGCGGCUAGACGGAAAGACCCCAUGAACCUUUACUGUAGCUUUGCAUUGGACUUUGAACCGAUCUGUGUAGGAUAGGUGGGAGGCUAUGAAACCGGAACGCUAGUUUCGGUGGAGCCGUCCUUGAAAUACCACCCUGGUUUGUUUGAGGUUCUAACCUUGGCCCGUGAUCCGGGUCGGGGACAGUGCAUGGUAGGCAGUUUGACUGGGGCGGUCUCCUCCCAAAGCGUAACGGAGGAGUACGAAGGUACGCUAGGUACGGUCGGAAAUCGUGCUGAUAGUGCAAUGGCAUAAGCGUGCUUAACUGCGAGACCGACAAGUCGAGCAGGUGCGAAAGCAGGUCAUAGUGAUCCGGUGGUUCUGUAUGGAAGGGCCAUCGCUCAACGGAUAAAAGGUACUCUGGGGAUAACAGGCUGAUACCGCCCAAGAGUUCAUAUCGACGGCGGUGUUUGGCACCUCGAUGUCGGCUCAUCUCAUCCUGGGGCUGUAGCCGGUCCCAAGGGUAUGGCUGUUCGCCAUUUAAAGAGGUACGUGAGCUGGGUUUAAAACGUCGUGAGACAGUUUGGUCCCUAUCUGCCGUGGGCGUUGGAUAUUUGAAGGGGGCUGCUCCUAGUACGAGAGGACCGGAGUGGACGAACCUCUGGUGUACCGGUUGUCACGCCAGUGGCAUCGCCGGGUAGCUAUGUUCGGAAGAGAUAACCGCUGAAAGCAUCUAAGCGGGAAACUCGCCUUAAGAUGAGAUAUCCCUGGGGACUAGAUCCCCUUGAAGGGUCGUUCGAGACCAGGACGUUGAUAGGUCAGGUGUGUAAGCGCAGUAAUGCGUUCAGCUAACUGAUACUAAUUGCCCGUAAGGCUUGAUCCU
rnacentral:rRNA from 1 species